UCAGAACUCCGCAGUUAAGUGUGCUUGGGCGAGAGUUGUACUAGGAUGGGUGACCUCCUGGGAAGUCCUCGUGUCGCACCCC
rnacentral:rRNA from 1 species